UUACGGCCACAGCACAAUAAAACACUGGUUCCCGUACGAUCAGCGAAGUUAAGCAACAUUGAGCCUGGUCAGUACCUAGAUGGAUGAACCCUUGGGAAAACUAGAUGCU